rnacentral:rRNA from 1 species
CCUACGGGUGGCAGCAGUGGGGAAUAUUGGACAAUGGGGGCAACCCUGAUCCAGCCAUGCCGCGUGUGUGAAGAAGGCCCUCGGGUUGUAAAGCACUUUCAGUGAGGAAGAACGCCUGGUGGUUAAUACCCAUCAGGAAAGACAUCACUCACAGAAGAAGCACCGGCUAACUCCGUGCCAGCAGCCGCGGUAAUACGGAGGGUGCGAGCGUUAAUCGGAAUUACUGGGCGUAAAGCGCGCGUAGGUGGCUUGAUAAGCCGGUUGUGAAAGCCCCGGGCUCAACCUGGGAACGGCAUCCGGAACUGUCAAGCUAGAGUGCAGGAGAGGAAGGUAGAAUUCCCGGUGUAGCGGUGAAAUGCGUAGAGAUCGGGAGGAAUACCAGUGGCGAAGGCGGCCUUCUGGACUGACACUGACACUGAGGUGAGAAAGCGUGGGUAGCAAACAGGAUUAGAUACCCGUGUAGUC